GCCUCGAUAGCUCAGUUUGGGAGAGCGUCAGACUGAAGAUCUGAAGGUCCCUGGUUCGAUCCCCGGGUCGCGGCA
rnacentral:tRNA from 1 species